CCCUUAGAUGUUCUGGGCCGCACGCGCGCUACACUGAUGCAUUCAACGAGUCUAAAACCUGGUCUGAUAGGGCUGGGUAAUCUUUUGAAAGUGCAUCGUGAUUGGGAUAGAUGAUUGCAAUUCUUCAUCUUCAACGAGGAAUGCCUAGUAAACGCAAGUCAUCAGCUUGCAUUGAUUACGUCCCUGCCCUUUGUACACACCGCCCGUCGCUCCUACCGAUUGAAUGAUCCGAUGAAUACCAUGGAUUGAGAGUACGAAUGGGUUCGCUCAUUUCUGCUGCUCGAGAAGUGGAGUAAAUCUUAUCAUUUAGAGGAAGGAGAAGUCAUAACA
rnacentral:rRNA from 1 species